CAAACUGUGUUUCGAGCUCCAUUCAUAGAUCAAACACGAGCUUCUUCCUCUCUCCUUGGCACGAGUAACUUUUCUCUCCGUGGCUGCUACUUCUGCUUCUUCCGCCGUGGCCGUUGCCGCUGCCGCCGCUGCUUGCAUCGCACAAUCUCUCUGUCAUCCCUUGCGUCCUACGAGAUCCCCCCGCCGCCGCUCUCAUCGCAGAGCUCUCUCUGCCGACGCUCUCAUCGCAUCUGCUCCCUCUGGCACCUCUUCCAUCUAAUCUCAACUCGCUCUCUCAGUUCUUCUUGUAACCAUCUCAAAUUUCAGUGUUACAGCUCAAGAUCUUGUUGACACUAUGCUUCUAAAUUUGCUUCUAAAUUUCUGAUAUCUUCACUUUUAACGAUGGAUCUGUAACGCCUCUACUCAAGAGCAUGACAGUGCAUAAUAUGUAUGUUGGAGAGGGUUCAGACUUCCAAUAUAAUAUAUAAAAGGGUGGCUGAGCAGUGGGGUUCUCUUGGUGACUUGACUACGUCUGUUACAUCGAUUCGAUUCGAUUGAUACAGAAGGAAUACUCAGGAUCUGCUAGAACUGGCGAUGGAUCUGUUAGACGAGAUCAAGUUGGUGGGGUCAAAAUACUCAGCUUGUUCAUCAGGGUUCACUGAAUUAUAUUAGUUCCCAG